AGCAUAUAUUUAUGGGGUACAUGAGAUGCUUUUAUCCAGGCAUGCAAUGUGUUCUAAUCACAUGAAAAAUGGGGAACCCGUCCCCUCAAGUAUCCAUCCUUUGUGUUACAAACAAUCCAGUUACACUCUUUUUAGUUAUUUAAAAAUGUACACUUGAAUUAUUCUUGACUAUAGCCACCCUGCUGUGCCAGCAAACACUACAUCUUAUUCAACGCUAACAAUCUGGGCUGUCAAAAGGAGAAGGGUUGCUGUAGCGGAGGGGCUUAGAGGUGAGCAUUUGUUUGUCUCACCCUUCCCCCUGCAGAGCGGUGCCUGUUCUUACAGCCAUUUGUAAAUGCUGGCCUUGAGCCACACCAAGCAUCCAGGUAGAGCUGGGAGCUUCACCCAUAGGCUGGGAGCACCGUGAGGGGGACCUGCAGUCCAGGACGGCCACGGUGGUGCAGGGAGGCCCCGCACUGCGGGAGGAGCUGGUCAUGACCCAGGGCCAGCACCAGAGUGGCUGCCCAGGGCGCCAGGCACCCAUAGGACUGGGAAAGCCAGGAGAGGCCAGAGAGGGGAAGGGAAUUGGCAACUUCUAAAAGAAAUGCGAGAAAGAGCCUGGGAAGUACCAGAAGGAAGAAAGUCGUCCCUGGGGCUUGAGGCAUAGAGAGAACUAUGUCUCGAGUAAACCAAAGGUGUUUCCAUGGUACCUGGAAUUUUUUUUUAAGUCAGGGAUGAUGGGACUCACAGACACAGAAAGAUUGUCAUGAAGAAAGAAGUUUAUCCUUGCAGAUCCCUGGACAGAGGAGUCACGCCUGGCCACACAGAGACGCACAGCCAACCAGGGUCUAGCUGACCCCUAUGGAUUUCCAUAACCAGCCCUCAGGCCUGAGAGACAGCGUUCCCACUGUCAGCAGCGAGCCCAGCGCAGGAUCUGGACAUGGAGUCUGGUGUUUCUCCAGCCGGGCAGCCCAAGCAUAGCCUCUCCCUGGAGCAGGAAGGAGAAGCUCCUUCUGUACCUUUACCAGGAGCACAGCCACACUGUUCUGAAAGCAAACUCAUGCUGGACGCCUGCAGGUUCCAGAAGGGAUGAGAUCACCACCAGCUUCCAGUUCAAGAAUUUCUGAAAGAUCUUUGGCACCCAGAGCUAAUGAGAUGAAAUGAUCCCGGAACUCUUGCUGAUCUCAGAAACUUGCUGCUGUUUUGCUUCAUCUGGGAUAAAGUUGAAACAGCUUUUAGACAUAAAGCUCUUCUUUCAAAUAGCUAGGUGGUGUCAUGCAAAUCAAAAACAUUAGCCGAGGGUGAAAGGCUUCUAAAUAAUGCAGAGGCUGAAAUCGACGGUUGUAUGUAUUUAUAAUUUUUUAAAUCUCUAAUUAGAAUGCAUCUGACUUUGUAUUCUG
rnacentral:lncRNA from 10 species